AGUGAACGCUGGCGGUAGGCCUAACACAUGCAAGUCGAACGGCAGCACAGUAAGAGCUUGCUCUUACGGGUGGCGAGUGGCGGACGGGUGAGGAAUACAUCGGAAUCUACUUUUUCGUGGGGGAUAACGUAGGGAAACUUACGCUAAUACCGCAUACGACCUACGGGUGAAAGCAGGGGAUCUUCGGACCUUGCGCGAUUGAAUGAGCCGGUGUCGGAUUAGCUAGUUGGCGGGGUAAAGGCCCACCAAGGCGACGAUCGGUAGCUGGUCUGAGAGGGUGACCGGCCACAUUGGGACUGAGAUACGGCCCAGACGCCUACGGGAGGCAGCAGUGGGGGAUAUUGCACAAGGGGCGGAAGCAUGAUGCAGCAACGCCGCGUGCGGGAUGACGGCCUUCGGGUUGUAAACCGCUUUCGCCUGUGACGAAGCGUGAGUGACGGUAAUGGGUAAAGAAGCACCGGCUAACUACGUG
rnacentral:rRNA from 1 species